CUAACACAUGCAAGUCGAACGAGUAACAGGAAGCAGCUUGCUGCUUCAAUGACGAGUGGCGGACGGGUGAGUAAUGUCUGGGAAACUGCCUGAUGGAGGGGGAUAACUACUGGAAACGGUAGCUAAUACCGCAUAACGUCGCAAGACCAAAGGGGGGGGACCUUCGGGCCUCUUGCCAUCGGAUGUGCCCAGACGGGAUUAGCUUGUUGGUGGGGUAACGGCUCACCAAGGCGACGAUCCCUAGCUGGUCUAAGAGGAUGACCAGCCACACUGGAACUGAGACACGGUCCAGACUCCUACGGGAGGCAGCAGUGGGGAAUAUUGCACAAUGGGCGCAAGCCUGAUGCAGCCAUGCCGCGUGUAUGACGAAGGCCUUCGGGUUGUAAAGUACUUUCAGCGGGGAGGAAGGGAGUAAAGUUAAUACCUUUGCUCAUUGACGUUACCCGCAGAAGAAGCACCGGCUAACUCCGUGCCAGCAGCCGCGGUAAUACGGAGGGUGCAAGCGUUAAUCGGAAUUACUGGGCGUAAAGCGCACGCAGGCGGUUUGUUACGUCAGAUGUGAAAUCCCC
rnacentral:rRNA from 1 species